AGGUGAUGAAUUCCAUGGGUUGGUAGAAACUUAGAAUGGUACCAUCAGUCACCAACACCCCCUAGACCAGAGCAAACUAUCGAGUCGUGUGGAUAGAAGCUGCAGUUUCCAGCGUAGCACUAUAUAGUAGCUGCUCUUAUUGCCGAUCCGGCUGUCGUGGUCGAAGUUCGGGUUUCUUUGGGCAGCCCCUAUCCAGCUGGUCUUCAUUUACAGUUGAACUACAUCCAGGAUCGGUUGCAGCCUUAGAAGGAAGAAGGACUAUAUUCCUGUGCGGAUGGAUUAAAAAACUAGUCCAGACUGGUAGAUGUGACAGAUGUGUAUUGGAAGUAUGGACUUAAAACUUUGAUGUGUAGCAAAAAAGUUCAUCGUUGAUGAUAGUGAUUUUC
rnacentral:lncRNA from 1 species